UUGGCUUACGGGAGGCAGCAGUGAGGAAUAUUGGUCAAUGGGCUUACGCCUGAACCAGCCAAGUCGCGUGAGGGAAGACUGCCCUAUGGGUUGUAAACCUCUUUUGUCAGGGAGCAAUUGGCGCUACGUGUAGCGUUAUCGAGAGUACCUGAAGAAAAAGCAUCGGCUAACUCCGUGCCAGCAGCCGCGGUAAUACAUAGGGAGCAAGCGUUAUCCGGAUUUAUUGGGUGUAAAGGGUGCGUAGACGGGAAAUUAAGUUAGUUGUGAAAUCCCUCGGCUUAACUGAGGAACUGCAACUAAAACUG
rnacentral:rRNA from 1 species